GUUCAGGGAGGCCCGCGAACUGACGGGCCAGUGAGCAGGCGUCGGGAGUGGGCGGAUGCGUUGGGGUUCGGGCCAUGGGUGUGGAGGCGGAGAGGAAGGCGUGGUGCGGCGUCUCCAGGGUCCCUCAGGCUCCCUAUCAGCCCCUCCAGCUGCCUCAGUUAUCUCUGCACCCCCAUCUUCCUCCUCCCGACAUCGCAAACGUCGCAGGACUUCCAGCAAGUCGGAGGCAGGGGCUAGGGGUGGAGGCCAGGGUUCCAAGGAAAAGGGCCGAGGGAGCUGGGGAGGCCGCCACCACCACCACCAUCCACUGCCUGCAGCAGGCUUCAAAAAGCAACAGCGCAAGUUCCAGUAUGGGAAUUAUUGCAAAUACUAUGGGUACCGCAAUCCUUCCUGUGAGGAUGGGCGCCUUCGGGUGUUGAAGCCUGAGUGGUUUCGGGGCCGGGACGUCCUAGAUCUGGGCUGCAAUGUGGGCCAUCUGACGCUGAGCAUUGCCUGCAAGUGGGGCCCGUCCCGCAUGGUGGGCCUGGAUAUCGAUUCCCGGCUCAUCCAUUCUGCCCGCCAAAACAUCCGACACUACCUUUCCGAGGAGCUGCGUCUCCCACCCCAGACUUUGGAAGGGGACCCGGGGGCAGAGGGUGAGGAAGGGACCACCACCGUUCGAAAGAGGA
rnacentral:sRNA from 1 species